rnacentral:rRNA from 1 species
UACAGAGGUGGCAAGCGUUGUUCGGAAUUACUGGGCGUAAAGGGUGCGUAGGCGGUACUGCAAGUCUGAAGUGAAAGUUCAGGGCUUAACCCUGAGAGUGCUUUGGAAACUGUAGAACUUGAGUGCUGGAGAGGCAAGGGGAAUUCCACGUGUAGCGGUGAAAUGCGUAGAUAUCUGGAGGAACACCGGUGGCGAAGGCGGCGUCCUGGACCAACACUGACACUGAGGAGCGAAAGCCAGGGGAGCAAACGGG